UGGAAGAUAUAUCCAGGAAAAUAAUGGGAAUCGGCAAAACAAAAUACAGCUUAAUAUAAAUGCACCACUGGAUGAGAAUGCUACACACUGGUUAGCCCGGUGUCUUUCUAAUUCCAAUACGUAUAUAUAUCACAAUCUGCAUUGUUACAAUAUGAAUGCACUUUGUUACAUCUUGCUUACCCACGCUCCAUUACAGCUUGGUGUCGUAACUUCAGCAAUAGAAAGAUGGCUUGUAUAAUAGUAACAACCACAAAUAGUUUGUACGGCUACCAUUAUAUUAUUGUACAUGAGUUGGUGUGUAUCAUAUUUAUUCUAACUUUAACUAAACUGCUUAGAUACAAAUAUGGAUGUAUGGUCCUGAAGUCAUACAUGUGAGACCAUUGUUCCAAUGUCUUGAUAAAAUAUCGAAACUAUAUCUUGAUAUGAGACAUCUUACAAGGAAAGAUAAUCGUUUACUGGAAGAAGCAACUCAACGAUUACAUUCUCCACAGGAUUUUGUCUUGAAGGAAAUAGUUGAUGAAGAUACUGAUAAUGAUCAGUAUUGGGCUCAGUAUUUAAACUUUUGGAACCAAUGACUUGAUUUUUAUAUUUUCCACUAUUUUUUACUUUUUUUAUCAUAAGAACACAUUAAAAAUAUUUAAAAAUAAA